rnacentral:rRNA from 1 species
GACGAACGCUGGCGGCGUGCUUAACACAUGCAAGUCGAACGGAAAGGCCCUGCUUUUGUGGGGUGCUCGAGUGGCGAACGGGUGAGUAACACGUGAGUAACCUGCCCUUGACUUUGGGAUAACUUCAGGUAACUGGGGCUCAUACCCGAUAGGAGCUCCUGCUGCAUGGUGGGGGUUGGAAAGUUUCGGCGGUUGGGGAUGGACUCGCGGCUUAUCAGCUUGUUGGUGGGGUAGUGGCUUACCAAGGCUUUGACGGGUAGCCGGCCUGAGAGGGUGACCGGCCACAUGGGGACUGAGAUAGGGCCCAGUCGCCUACGGGAGGCAGCAGUGGGGAAUAUUGCACAAUGGGCGGAAGCCUGAUGCAGCAACGCCGCGUGCGGGAUGACGGCCUGCGGGUUGUAAACCGCUUUCGCCUGUGACGAAGCGUGAGUGACGGUAAUGUGUAAAGAAGCACCGGCUAACUACGUG